rnacentral:rRNA from 1 species
GAUGAACGCUAGCGGCAGGCCUAAUACAUGCAAGUCGAGGGGUAGAAGAGGCCUGCUUCUUUGAGACCGGCGCACGGGUGCGUAACGUGUAUGCAACCUACCUUCAUCUGGGGGAUAGCCCGGAGAAAUCCGGAUUAAUACCGCAUAAAAUCACAGGAUGGCAUUAUCCAAUGAUCAAACAUUUAUGGGAUGGAGAUGGGCAUGCGUGUCAUCAGCUAGUUGGCGGGGUAACGGCCCACCAAGGCGACGAUGACUAGGGGAUCUGAGAGGAUGGCCCCCCACACUGGUACUGAGACACGGACCAGACUCCUACGGGAGGCAGCAGUAAGGAAUAUUGGUCAAUGGAGGCAACUCUGAACCAGCCAUGCCGCGUGCAGGAAGACUGCCCUAUGGGUUGUAAACUGCUUUUAUUCGGGAAUAAACCUUAUUACGUGUAAUAAGCUGAAUGUACCGAAGGAAUAAGGAUCGGCUAACUCCGUGCCAGCAGCCGCAGUAA